rnacentral:rRNA from 1 species
UACGUAGGGGGCAAGCGUUGUCCGGAUUUAUUGGGCGUAAAGAGCGUGUAGGCGGCCAGAUAGGUCUGCUGUGAAAACUCGAGGCUUAACCUCGAGAUGUCGGCGGAAACCAUCUGGCUAGAGUCCGGAAGAGGAGAGUGGAAUUCCGUGGUGUAGCGGUGAAAUGCGCAGAUAUCAGGAAGAACACCCGUGGCGAAGGCGGCUCUCUGGGGACGGUACUGACGCUGAGACGCGAAAGCGUGGGGAGCGAACAGG